AAAUAAGCUUGAAGCAUAUAUCUUGACUAUAUCGUGUAAAAGACUCAAUAAGAGCAUGUUUGUUUGUCAUUAAAAUAUUUUCCCUAAAAUAUUUUCAUUGUUUUACAGCGUUUGUUUGGUAGAAAAUGAAUUCCCAAAAGUAAAACUAACGCUUUCUUAUCGAAAAUGUCUUACCGAUUUUUAUCCCGUAAGAUAUUUUCCCUUCUCUUCACUCUCAUCAUAGACUUAACAGUCGUUCUCUCUUCCUUGACAUCUCUGUCUGUCGGCCUCCACCUCUCCUCCUCAUCUCUGUCCGUUAGCCUUACCUCCUUAUCUCUGCCUAGUCAUCUCUGUUGGUUGGCUAUCGUCCUUACCAAGUCUUCAUUUUUUGUCUACAUUUUGGAAAAAUCCUAAAAAUAAUCUUUCCAGCCCUAUCAAGAGUUGAUGCUAUUGGAUAUGAAGAUAAAGAGGUUGAAAACUUGAGAGCCAAGUUAUCUACUUUAUUGUGGCAAGAGACUACUAUUAGAGUAGGUCUCCUCAUCCAGCUUGCUGUUGUUUUUGCUUUUCUUGGACUUGUAGUCCUUGAUUUUAAGAAAGCUAGUCCAAAGAAUGGUAAUCUUCCAGGCAUGCCAGGUCAAUGUGUGCCUGUAGAUCUUUUAAGAAAUUGAUUUCUUCAGUUGACUGAAGAGCAACGAUCAAUGUCAAUUAGGCUAUUUUUCAGGCUGUUGACUGAGAUAGUUGUGGUCGCAGGGGAAAGUUUCAAAUUAGGAUAUAUGUAAGAAUUUUUUGUAAAACUAUAGUAUUUGAGAAAUCAAAGUAGUUGUAGGGCUUUGCUACGUAACUGCAUCCUACAAAUAUGAUUUUGAUAUGGUUAAAAAAAAAAGAGGGAAUUGGGGGUUUGUGGAACUUGACUGUGGGUUUUGUUGCUAUUGCUAGGGUUGCUUUGCUGAAUAAUAGGGAGGAGUUGGCUACAUCUCCUACCCAACUCCUAGCUUAUCUUGUUUAUGACCCUCUGAUAAUUGAGAAUUUAUUGGUCAAUCUUCAAAUAGCAAUUUUGGACGUCUUAUUAUUAUUUGGGAUUCUUUUGUGUUAUGUAAGAUUGAGCUCAACUUAAAAAGUAUUUAAUAAAAUGCUUCAUUGAUGAAAAUAAA